rnacentral:rRNA from 1 species
UUACCGCGGCUGCUGGCACGGAGUUAGCCGGUCCUUAUUCGUACGGUACCGUCAAGCCACUACACGUAGUGGUGUUUCUUCCCGUAAAAAAGCAGUUUACAACCCAUAGGGCAGUCUUCCUGCACGCGGCAUGGCUGGAUCAGGCUCUCGCCCAUUGUCCAAUAUUCCUCACUGCUGCCUCCCGUAGGAGUCUGGUCCGUGUCUCAGUACCAGUGUGGGGGAUCCCCCUCUCAGGGCCCCUACCCAUCGUAGCCUUGGUGUGCCGUUACCACACCAACAAGCUAAUGGGACGCAUGAUCAUCUUGUACCGAUAAAUCUUUAAUUAUAAAACAAUGCCGUCUCAUAAUACUAUGGGGCAUUAAUCCAAGUUUCCCUGGGCUAUUCCCCUGUACAAGGCAGAUUCCAUACGCGUUACUCACCCGUGCGCCGGUCUCUAUAAUGCAAGCAUUAUAUACCCCUCGACUUGCAUGUGUUAGGCCUGCCGCUAGCGUUCAUCCUGAGCCAUGAUCAAACUC